UAGACCAAAAAUUUAGUUUUUUGUAGUGUAAAUAAAUAACCAACAAACAGACGUGAGCUAAUUUUAAAUUUGAAAGGUAUUUUCCAUUCAUUGCCCAGCAAAUAAACAAGUCAGUGGUGAGAAAAGCUGCAUAAGAAGUUUUGGUAUGAACUUGGAUAUGGUGCAAUAUCAUUGCCAUAAUGCUUCACAACAAAUCACAUUAUUGGAUUAUUUAACUUGACUACGUUUCAUUUAUGUUAUCAUUUUACCUUUAAGACGCUACACAUUAGUAUGAUUAAAAAUAUUGAAGAAGUUGAGACAUACCAACAGAAUUGGUGAUUAGACAACACUUAUUGAUCCUGGCAAGGUGUUUGUGAUUUUGACCUUUGACGAUUGAUGGAUAUAAGCAGUAAGAUCCCCUCCCCUGCAACCCUGCAGACAUUGAUAUAGAAAAUGGAUGGAACCUUUUCUAACUUCAAGACCGAUCACAACUUCAGUGUCCAAAGUCGGUCCUUGAGGGCCGCCGGCCUCCAUGUUUUAGUUAUUUCCCUGGUUCAACACACCUGAAUCAAAUGAGGUAGAUGGACCAUCUCACCCAUUACUUACGAAAAAGACAUGUACUUAGCUUAUUAUAAUUAAUAAAGUGACUAUUUUAAUACAAAUGCAUCUAAUUUACUAUGGAAUAGUGCCAUAAAUCCUGAAUGUUUUUCAACAAUAAGCUUCAUAGUCCCUGGUCAUAGCUGAGUUUAUUCACUGUAGGAAUAAAACAACAACAAAAAACAACUUUAUUAGAUAAUUUCAGGGUUACUGUAGUCAUAAUUGACCUUAUUUAUUUAUUUAUUUUUUGUCUUAUGCAUAGGCCAAUUAUUCUCUGUCUGAUAACCUUGAGUAAGAAUACCAUGGAAAAAACAGUUUUUAUAUUAAACUAUAAUGGUCAGGUGGUCUAAUUUCUUUAAUUUUUAAGCAAAAAGCAAAAACCAUCCCUGCUGGUAAUCUAUUGAGUCAUUAUUACAGCUACAUUUAAUGUUCAAAUAUACUAUAAUAUUUACUACUAUUGAUUGUAAGUGGAAAUAAUAUGUGAAUGCAUGAUAAAGCUAAGUGUAGUACUUCCUUAAUUGGUCAUAAAACUAAAUAUUGGGUCUUUUGGUGUCCUCUCUACAGAAUAGCACUGGGAGUCCUGUUGGCUAUUAGCUGCUUGAAGAGGCGCCGGUAGCUAGCCUCCACCCAGCUGCUCACAAAUGUGCCUCUCAUAGUUUGCCUAACACUUAGCUGUUCUUUCAGCCAGCUGGCUGGCAGUGUGCAGCAACAGAUGGCCAGAGAAAACUCUGAUCACUUCCACACCGUCUCUGACAUGCCAUUAAAAAUAAAUGGUAGGACCAGAUCAAUGGAAACUGAAAGCUAUAGGAGGUAAUUUCAUUUGUGAAUUGGUUUAUACAUUUCUUCUUCCAUUCACUGUUUUCGUUCCUGAAACCGACUCGUUGUCUAUUUAGGUAAUCUUGUUACGUCAUCCACUACUAGCUCCAAAUAAUAUUUUAAUGAAAUUUAGAUGAAAACCUGAGAGUUAGACAGGAAGUGAAACAACCGGGCAAAGAGACUGCAGUCAAAAACGGAUAAGAUUAGAUUCAAUUUACUAAGAGCGGUAAAUGUUGUAACUUCAGUAAUUUUACUUAAAUAAAGUUGUUCUUGUAUUGAGAUUAUUUUCACUUAAAAUGGCUUUAAAAAGACUUAAAUCUAACUUACUAAAACAUAAAAACGCUGUUUAACCACCAGUUGGUAAACAUCAGUUAUUUAGACUGACUAAGAAGGCUUUGCUAUCAAUAAUCAGAUUGCAUGAACUGUAGAAACGUGGCUCAUCUUUACAUCAGCAAUUUGGCAAUACAAAUACCAAUGGAGAAAAGGCGUUCAUGACACAAGGCAGUGAAUCACUGAUAAAAGGGAACAUGUUAUGUUAGCCCCGGUCAUAGGCGGUAAUAUCAUCCAUGAAACUUAUUGCAGAUUUUAUCUUGCCUAACUUUUCUAAUUAAAGCAUUUGUGCUUUCUCAACAGACGUCGAUGGGGCUGCAGUUCUGUUUCCAAGACACUGGGCCGACCUCCCGGAUUCAUUCGCGGUGAGUAAACUUUACACAGGACAGGCAGCAACAGAGCCAUGUAGCCCCCGCAGAAGAUCGCGAAGAAGACCGCAUACACCAUCAGCAGUAUGUAGGAGGUGGCCAGAGGGGAGAGCAUGUUGACCAAGCCACAGAGGAUCAGGCGGACGCCUUUUUCCUCUUCUCCCUCCUUGCCC